rnacentral:rRNA from 1 species
CAAUGAAAUGUGAAGGUUGGCCACGAAGCCAGCUGAGUUGCGAUCGUGUGUGUACGUGCACACGCGCAGCAACGGCCCGUCCUAUUCGCUGUGUCGAAGGGGCGAAGCUAGAGCGUACAUGUUGGGACCCGAAAGAUGGUGAACUAUGCCUGGGCAAGGCGAAGCCAGGGGAAACUCUGGUGGAGGUCUGUAGCGAUUCUGACGUGCAAAUCGAUCGUCAGACCUAGGUAUAGGGGCGAAAGACUAAUCGAACCAUCUAGUAGCUGGUUCCUUCCGAAGUUUCCCUCAGGAUAGCUGGCGCUUGAGGAAACCAGUCUCAUCCGGUAAAGCGAAUGACUAGAGGCCUUGGGGCCGAAACGACCUCAACCUAUUCUCAAACUUUCAAUGGGUGAGAAAACCGGCUUGCUUGGGUUGAAGCCCGGUUAU